GAGUGAAUCCAAACCCUAGAAAAAAAUUGGAUAGCAACAUGAGGAAUCGUGCGCCUCAAAAGAGAAAAGUCGAGCUCAUGAGUUCUAGAUUGAUGAAUUGAGCUUAUAUUAGUUGAAAAAAUUGAACAGUGCUUUGGUCCUAAUUCUCUCCAACCUUAGGGUCACAAUCACUAUGACAUCAAUGGUGUUACGGUAACCACAAUCCAUAGGUCAAAUCGAAAGACGAGACCAAAGAGAAGGAGCAAACCAAUAGAAAGCAUAUGAAAGGUCUGUGAUGCAUACAUGUUUCUUGCCCUAGUAUAUUAAAUUAAGUACAACUUGAGAGGUUGAGCCUGGAUCCUUUUGUCAUCGAGAACAUGGUUGAACUAAGCUCAUGUUGGACAAAUUCAAUCUCUUGAAGGCUUUGUGUCUAAUAGGAGUGUAAACAGGAUAAGUUGGAAGACAUUCUCAUCUCAACCCAUAUUUUCGGAUUGGUUGGCGAAUUAAUUUUCCAACCCAACCCAUAUUAUACGGGUUGUAUUAUUUUUUAUCAUUUAUAAUGUUUUUAAAGUUUAAAAUUGUUGUAGUUAACUACUCAACAAUCAACAUUCAUAAUAUUA